UCCGUAGGUGAACCUGCGGAAGGAUCAUUACUAGAGCAAAGGAUAGACAGCGCCCGCGGAGCUCGCUCCCGGGGCUACCCUACUCCCGUAGGGUUUAGAGUCGUCGGGCCUCUCGGAGAAGCUCGGUCCUGAACUCCACCCUUGAAUAAACUACCUUUGUUGCUUUGGCGGGCCGCCUCGUGCCAGCGGCUUCGGCUGUUGAGUGCCCGCCAGAGGACCCCAACUCUUGUUUUUAGUGAUGUCUGAGUACUAUAUAAUAGUUAAAACUUUCAACAACGGAUCUCUUGGUUCUGGCAUCGAUGAAGAACGCAGCGAAAUGCGAUAAGUAAUGUGAAUUGCAGAAUUCAGUGAAUCAUCGAAUCUUUGAACGCACAUUGCGCCCUCUGGUAUUCCGGGGGGCAUGCCUGUUCGAGCGUCAUUAUAACCACUCAAGCUCUCGCUUGGUAUUGGGGUUCGCGGUUUCGCGGCCCCUAAAAUCAGUGGCGGUGCCUGUCGGCUCUACGCGUAGUAAUACUCCUCGCGAUUGAGUCCGGUAGGUCUACUUGCCAGCAACCCCUAAUUUUUUUAAGGUUGACCUCGGAUCAGGUAGGGAUACCCGCUGAACUUAAGCAUAUCAAUAAGCGGAGGA
rnacentral:rRNA from 3 species